rnacentral:rRNA from 1 species
AGAGUUUGAUCCUGGCUCAGGAUGAACGCUAGCUACAGGCUUAACACAUGCAAGUCGAGGGGCAGCAUUGGAGUAGCAAUACUUCAGAUGGCGACCGGCGCACGGGUGAGUAACACGUAUCCAACCUGCCGCUUACUCGGGGAUAGCCUUUCGAAAGAAAGAUUAAUACCCGAUGGUAUAAAGAGUUCGCAUGUUCUCUUUAUUAAAGAAUUUCGGUAAGCGAUGGGGAUGCGUUCCAUUAGAUAGUUGGCGGGGUAACGGCCCACCAAGUCUACGAUGGAUAGGGGUUCUGAGAGGAAGGUCCCCCACAUUGGAACUGAGACACGGUCCAAACUCCUACGGGAGGCAGCAGUGAGGAAUAUUGGUCAAUGGACGAGAGUCUGAACCAGCCAAAGUAGCGUGAAGGAUGACUGCCCUAUGGGUUGUAAACUUCUUUUAUAAGGGAAUAAAGUGAGGGACGUGUCCCUUUUUGUAUGUACCUUAUGAAUAAGGAUCGGCUAACUCCGUGCCAGCCGCCGC